rnacentral:piRNA from 1 species
ACCCUGUGGAGAUGAGAGGCUUUGUUCAA